rnacentral:miRNA from 1 species
UGUAUAUAAUCACUUGAUUUAU